CAAAGCAUCAUAAAUAUUGUUAUUAGAUGUUACACCAACUCUAAAGCAGAUAAAGGCAAAAUGGAAAUCUACAUCCCUUGAAUUAUAAAGAAUCUAAUUUUGUCCAUCUCUAAAAAUAAAGCAUAGUUCUCUAAACUCUUUUAAUUUGAAAUGUCAGAGACAGGAAGUGCUUCAGAGAUGUCACUGUGAUCACAGCUGCUUGGUUCAAGUUACUAAAGCUUUGUGGAACAGGUCCCAGGAAAAUGGAAUACAAAAAUGUAAGACAUUUUCAUUGUUUGCUGUUUGUAAAGAUGUUUUAAAAGUUUGAUUUUUAUUAAAAAUUCUCGAAAUAAAUGGUCUUGUACAGCUC